CCGAGUAAGGAGGGGACGGCGCCAAGGCCCUCCUGAGCGCAAGGCCCGCCACGUGUCCAGGGGCCGUGACUAGGGCUGUAUUUUACCCCACCGCCAUCCGGGAUGAGCCACUUUUCUGCCACCAUGUCAUCAAAUUCAUCCGCAGUAAACUUAGUAAGUCCCCACUUCGUGGAGACGUAGAUCUUCUGGAGGCCAGAGCACGUGCGUGGACUGGGCCCUGCAGAGGGCCUCAGUCACAAGCUCCUUGUCCUGCGCUUGGUGUGGAUGUGCGUGAUGACUUGGCCAUCGUGGACCCUGGCCACUGUGCUCUGGAGCUCUCCAAGGGCACCUCGCAUCCCUGUCUGCAGCCUAGACUGGGGACAGCAUUCCAGUCACGAGUGUCCACUGGAAAGGGCUGAACCCAGCGUCCCUGAGGACAACCCGUACAGGCAGCAGGCUGCAUGUACCACCGAGGAGGGUAGAAGAGGAUGAGAAGGAAAAUACCUGCUACAACUAUUGUGCUUGAGGGGAGAAAGGCUGAAUAGCACCUUCUAUGGCUGAGGGAGUCAAGGGCGGAGACCAAAAUGGGGUGGAUUUUCCAGCUGCAGCUAGUACAAGUCCUAUUAAAGAUUCUUUUCCCAUAUAGGUUAUUACAGAAUACUGAGUACAGUUCCCUGUGCUAUACGCGAGCCUGUGUCUUUGGGUUGGAGCAUUUAAUCCAUUCACGUUUAAGGUAAUUAUCAAUAUGUAUGUUCCUGUUACCAUUUUCUUAAUUGUUUUGGGUUUGUUUUUGUAGGUCCUUUUCUUCUCUUGUGUUUCCCAUUUAGAGAAGUUCCUUUACCAUUUGUUGUAGAGCUGGUGUGGUGGUGCUGAAUUCUCUUAGCUUUUGCUUGUCUGUAAAGCUUUUGAUUUCUCCAUCGAAUCUGAAUGAGAUCCUUGCUGGGUAGAGUUACCUUGGUUGUAGGUUCUUCUCUUUCAUCACUUUAAAUGUGUCAUGCCACUCCCUUCUGGCCUGUAGAGUUUCUGCUGAGAAAUCAGCUAUUAACCUUAUGGGAGUUCCCUUGUAUGUUGUUUAUCCUUUUUCCCUUGCUGCUUUCAAUAAUUUUUCUUUGUCUUUAAUUUUUGCCAAUUUGAUUACUAUGUGUCUCUCGGCAUGUCUCUCCUUGGAUUUAUCCUGUAUGGGACUCUCUGCACUUCCUGGACUUGGGUGGCUAUUUCCUUUCCCAUGGUAGGGAAAUUUUCAACUAUA